rnacentral:rRNA from 1 species
GACGAACGCUGGCGGCGUGCUUAACACAUGCAAGUCGAACGAUGAACCCGGAGCUUGCUCCGGUGGAUUAGUGGCGAACGGGUGAGUAACACGUGAGUAACCUGCCCUUGACUCUGGGAUAACUGCGGGAAACUGUAGCUAAUACCGGAUACGACCCUCGGCGGCAUCGCCAGGGGGUGGAAAGAAUUUCGGUCAAGGAUGGACUCGCGGCCUAUCAGCUAGUUGGUGAGGUAACGGCUCACCAAGGCGACGACGGGUAGCCGGCCUGAGAGGGGGGCCGGCAAGACUGGGACUGAGACAGGGCGAAGACUCCUACGGGAGGCAGCAGUGUGGAAGAUUGCACAAUGGGCGCAAGCCUGAUGCAGCAACGCCGCGUGAGGGAUGACGGCCGUCGGGUUGUAAACCUCUUUUAGUAGGGAAGAAGCGAAAGUGACGGUACCUGCAGAAAAAGCACCGGCUAACUACGUGCCAGCCGCCGCCGUAA